UACGGGGGGAGCAAGCGUUGUUCGGAUUUACUGGGCGUAAAGGGCGCGUAGGCGGCCAGCACAAGUCAGUUGUGAAAUCUCCGAGCUUAACUCGGAAAGGUCAACUGAUACUGUGCGGCUAGAGUGCGGAAGGGGCAACUGGAAUUCUUGGUGUAGCGGUGAAAUGCGUAGAUAUCAAGAGGAACACCUGCGGCGAAGGCGGGUUGCUGGGCCGACACUGACGUUGAGGCGCGAAAGCCAGGGGAGCGAACGGG
rnacentral:rRNA from 1 species